AACGAACGCUGGCGGCAUGCCUAACACAUGCAAGUCGAACGAGACCUUCGGGUCUAGUGGCGCACGGGUGCGUAACGCGUGGGAACCUGCCCUUAGGUUCGGAAUAACUCCCCGAAGGGGGUGCUAAUACCGGAUAAUGUCUUCGGACCAAAGAUUUAUCGCCUUUGGAUGGGCCCGCGUUGGAUUAGCUUGUUGGUAGGGUAAAAGCCUACCAAGGCGACGAUCCAUAGCUGGUCUGAGAGGAUGAUCAGCCACACUGGGACUGAGACACGGCCCAGACUCCUACGGGAGGCAGCAGUGAGGAAUAUUGGACAAUGGGCGAAAGCCUGAUCCAGCAAUGCCGCGUGAGUGAUGAAGGCCUUAGGGUUGUAAAGCUCUUUUACCCGGGAUGAUAAUGACAGUACCGGGAGAAUAAGCUCCGGCUAACUCCGUG
rnacentral:rRNA from 1 species